UUUUGAACAAAAAGGAAACUCAUCAUAAAAAAAAUAAUAAAUCAAGUUGGUGGUUGUGAGUUAAUAAUGUAGUAACAACUACUUAACAACCAUAAAUGGAAAAUAUAGAACAACAACAACUAAUACAAACAUAGUACCUAAACUCGAGUAUGCAACAAUAUAAUGAAGUAAAUUUACUAUACCAGCAAACAUUUACAAAAGGGGGAGCAGAGUAAUUUUUUAUAUGUAUGCAGUCUACAUAAGUAUUCUUUCUAGAGGAUUUUUUUUCUGUUUAAUAAUAUUAUAUGUAUUAUCACACAUCGUCUAUCUUUAGCACAUUUGAUGCAUCGUUGAAUACCAUUUAUUUAUUUAAUUGUUAGAAAACCGAUGCCGGGUGUUGGCGUUGCUGGUCAUGGUGGUGUGGUGGCAGUUUUAGUAUUUCUUUUCCAUUUCUUUUAAGUGCAAUACAGUGCUUAUGAAUUUAAUAAAAAUAAAAAGUCUAAAAGCUUUAACAGCAGUAAUAUUCACAAAGAACUAAUAAAGAUAAAUACAUUAAGUGACACUGAGUGCUUAGAAAAGAAUGCUUUGACAAAAAGUUGUUGAUGAAAAUGUAAAAUAUGUAGAAAAAUUAUGUAUGGUGAUGUAGCCCCCAGAUACCCAGAUACAAUAGACAAUUUAAAAGAUCAUUGACUAAAUUAAAUGAAAGAACCACUAAACGAACCAUCAGCAUUUUAAAUUGUCAUCAUUGGUAUACAGAAUGAAAAACUCCUAGUGUAUUUGUAUUAAAAAUAUUGAUGUGAUCAUACUCCACUUCACUAAUGCACUGUGGGGCACGAUCACUUUUUAAUGAAAAUGUAUAUUACACUGAAAAGGUUUAAUUGAAAAUAUUCUGUAAAAAAUAAGAGAAAAAUUAUUUUGAAAUACUUUUUUUAAUAGUUUCUGGGAUCGUUAAGUAAGUCGAUGAAGAACAUGGACGUUAUAUAUAAUUAAAAAUUACAUUUUCAACAUAACAUUGACCUGUAAAAUCCAGCACACUUCUCAAGACAAAGUUCAAAACAAAUGUGCACCUCCAAAGCUAGAAGAGCUUCUUCUAGCUUUGGAGGUGCCUGAUAUUUUUAUCGCCUGUAUUGCGAUAAAAAUAUGAUAUCAAUAUUGGCUUUUCUGUAAAAUUUCUAUAAAUGAAAGAAAACAACCUAGUUCAGUUUUAGAUCAGUUCUAGUUCACAUUCUGCACGAAUAUAUUAAGACUUUUUAAUAAUUUUUGUGAAGUCGUUGUCAAUAUCCGAAAUCGAUCGAGGAAACUGAGCAAUAAAAAAAGUCAUACAUUAUCUACUUAUCUACUUUUAUUUAUACAACACGAUUUAAAAAUUAAAUUUUAUUCGAAUUUUUAAUAAUUAUAGGCCAUAGUGCAAAUUUAGUGAAAAUAAAACCACUAGAACAAACAAGAUGAUUAUAGCGAUAUAUAGAAAUAAUGAAAGAAGUUACAACAACGACCUACCGAAACAAAAACAGGCAGACAGACACGACAUACGCGGCAUUUUCUCGAGCAUAAGAAAAUACAAAUAAAUUUUGAGAAAAAGAGAGACCGUAAGAAAGAGGGAGUUCAACUACAUAUUUGUUAUCGAUAUACUGUAUUUAAAAGCUAAAACAACAACGUCAAUUAAAUAUCUAUACAUAUUGCACAGUGGGUGCUAACAAUGUAAUUAUACAUAUUUUAUUGAAAAAAAAAUUAUCAUGAUUAAUAACAGAACCACCAUUUAAUGAUAAUUACCAGAGUUUAACUUACAAGUAAGUAAAUUAUAAAACUAUUGAUCAUCUGCAAGGAGAUGAAAGCAUAAUUAGAACUUCACAUGAAAGUCUUAAACAAAACAUCGUAAGUGAUGGGAAGGAAUCGAAUUUAUUAGUCAAUUAAGGAAGGUUAGUUGUAACAGUAAUUUGAAAAAGUUAUCCAUAAUCAAGAUAAUUGUUGAAAAACGAAAUCAAACCAGAUUGUAAGAAACUGCUUAAAUAUCAGUCUUGGGUUACAGAAGAUAGGCACUGGUAUUAAGUCUCUCGACAAUAAUCGGCAAAGCCGAGUUACGAAUGCUAAAAUGGAACAAUAAGGAUUACCAUUGAAAACCAAUUGAUUGAGAAGGCAUCAGAUGACUCCUCAAAGGGAAUAUGUCCGUUGUAAGUAUGAUGGCGUAAACGCACAUGUUUCUGACACAACUGUAUAAAAUGAAUCCAACGGAUUCAGACGGAAGCAGAGAAUGCAAAGAGAAUCCAUAUAAUUUACCAAUUUAGCCGUUACUGUCAAGAGUCUUAAGAUCAAAAAUAUAUAUGUCACUAAGUGGAGACACCAAUUAAAACUCCAGCAAUAAGCAAUAAAUUUUGAAAAUGUUCUUUUAUUAAAUUUAAACUGACAACACCUUAAAUAGCACAUAAUUUAAAAUUCAAAAUUAAUUUAAAUUAAAACGAACAAACAAACAAAAAACUCAUAAAAAUAAAUAAAUAAAAUGAUAGAAUUUCAUUGAAGAUGACACGACUUUUU